GCUGGCGCCUUCGGCGUCCGCAUUGUAAUCUCAAGAAGUGUUUUCCGCUUCGGACCAUGCCUAAGUCCCUUGGAAAAGGGCAUCAUAGAGGGUGAUAAUCCCGUACAUGGCAUGGAGCGCCCGAAGCUUUGUGAUACGCUUUCUAAGAGUCGAGUUGUUUGGGAAUGCAGCUCAAAAUGGGUGGUAAAUGCCAUCUAAGGCUAAAUAUUGGGGAGAGACCGAUAGCGAACAAGUACAGUGAUGGAAAGAUGAAAAGAACUUUGAAAAGAGAGUUAAACAGUACGUGAAAUUGCCAAAAGGGAAGGGUAGGAGGUCAGAGAUGCGUCGCAGGAUUCAGCCUUGCUUUUGCUUGGUGUUUUUCCUGCGUUGCAGGCCAACGUCGGUUUUGGGCACUGGAGAAGGGUAGGAGGAACGUGGCACCUCUCGGGGUGUGUUAUAGCCUCCUACUGGAUACAGCGACCGAGACCGAGGAACGCAGCGUACUCGUAAGAGCGGGCCUUUUGGCACCUUUACGCUUAGGGCGUUGGCAUAAUGGCCCUCUACCAC
rnacentral:rRNA from 1 species